GGCCUGGGAGCCUCAGCGAGGCCUGGACAGGGGACGGGCAGAGGAGCCUCCUUAGUCCCCGUCCAGGCAAGAAAGCCGUGGCCUCGACCCAGGUGCCCACCUGCCCUGGGGGCCUGAUUGCGGGUCCCCACCUGCAUGCAGGGCGUCCUCUGUAUGGCUGCCAGUUUGGGGCAUGGCGAGGGCCCAGGGACCUGUCUGAGUCGAAUUCCUGGCGGGAGCCGGGUUUGAGGCACACAGGAGCCUCGGUGCUGAGUCGGGGGCAGGUCGGCCCAGGUGACAUCACACCCACCCUUGUGUGAACCGCCAGGAGGAGCCCAGGCAGGAUAAGGACAAAAGAUCAUCCCUGGGGCAAUGAAGCCCGGAAGGUGCCGGCAUGUCUGUGCCUGGGGUGGGUCCACCCUGACUCCCAGGGGCCGGCGAUGAGUGUCCGAGAGGAGAGCCCUUGGCCUCAGCGUGCACUGACACCAAGGUGGCGGCGCCUCCUCGGCUUAUUCAGACAGCAGGACGUGUCAGAGGAGAGGCUCCAGUUUGGGUUGCCUUUCAAGCAGCAACAUCAGAAAUGCCCUGCCUCUCCUGGUCUGAGGGAUCAGGAGGGUCUAGACCAAAUGGCGGUUACCCACCCAGGACAGCCUCUGUCCCUCUGGGAAGGAGAGGUCACCUUGGUCAGAAUCCCACCCUCACCUGGCCAGCCCAAGUCUCCCCUGGGACAGGAGGAGUGGAGGCCACCCCUUUCCAGACCCUGAUUGAAAUACCAGCUGGGAAGGGAGACCGGCAUCCCUGGAGUGUGGUGGCCCCCAGGAGAGAUGCACCCAGCCAGGUGGUGAGCGGAGAUGGUACUGCAGGCACACUGGGCAGGUGAGGCCCAGGAGUCCUGGUCCAGGCAUGUUGCCUCCAGCGCCCACCUGUCGGUCUGUGCAGGAGGCCAGGAUGCCCUGCAGGGGGGAUUGGGUGGGGAGGAGCAAAGGGAGAGGAGGGCAUCGCUGUGGCCCUCGACAGCCUGGGGGUCUCCACCAGAGUUGGCGAGGCCGGUGCUCCAGGAGUAGCCGCGUCACCCCCUGCCUCCCCCUGCAGAGCUAUUCUGCACCUCCUGACUCCCGAAACGUGGCGCAGAGGCUGCCGUGUGCCUCAAAGACCAGCUCCCACCUGGGAGAUUCAGGUCAGACAGACCCCUGGGCCCUCUCCAUGCCCGGAGCUGAUGACUGUUCAGAGAAGGUUCUACAUGCAGGCGGGCCCCCUGUGCUGGCCCACAGGCUCCAGGGACCCGUGACCAGGAGACGCUGAGCUCAGCAUGUGGGGGUGUGAACAUCUGUCAAGUAAGUAAAGGCACGAGGGGAAGAGGAACCCGUCAGAGGACGGGGGUCCAGGGCCAGGCAGGGGAUGGCGCCACAAGGACUGAGGGAGGGAGGACGCUGGAAUCCCGCUGCCGUGGGAAAUUAACCUGAGCAGCUCUUCAAGAGGAGGAGACCUCGGGCCAGUGCCUGGAGAACUGGCGUGGAGCCUGGGGCUGCGUUUCAGCCAUGCCCUGGGCAAGGCUCAGAGCAGCUGGCUCUGCAGGGACCUUGGCCACGGCUUCCUCCUGCUGCUCCCCAGUCUCGCUGCCUCCUUCCGGAAGGUGCACAAGUGACCCCCCAAAGUGCUCCCUAAAGGUGACCCUGGGCUCAGGAGCAGGAGCUCCUGGGUCCUCCCACUCGCCUUCCGAAGGGCCCUGCCCAGCCUGGUGUCAGCAGGUAUCCCAGGGGGAGGGCCCCACGGCUCCGCACAGCCUGUCACCUGGCUGUGUGCAAGCCAGGGAGGUCACUGUGACGUCCUGAUUUAGUUUCCAACUUCGCUGGUAGAGUUGUGACAUUUUCUCUCAAAUCACUGCCUCCUGCCACAGCUGACUGAUCUUGCAUUUAAACAGCCGCCCGCUGUGUCCUGGUGCUCAGAGGAGGUUAGGGCCUGCCUGUUCAAUACCUAGACUGUGAGCACACGGGGCGCAGAGAGGCCCUUCAGAGCAGGAUGCCUAAAAUAGCACCACCGGUGCCCUGCAGGAGCAGACCUGCCCGACUCUUCCUGAGCACAAGGAAGGGCCGUCGCCCCGACACCCUGUCAAACUGAAUGUUUAAAGCUCUGAUGUGAGCCACACAGGCGGCCUCCGUGCUCCGGGCCUCGCUGUCAACCCACAGGUCUGGGCACCAACUUGUCCUAAAGUCCCGCCAGGUGUCGCGUCCUGCCUGCCCCACACCCCAGGUCCUGUGGGCAUCCCCAGCAGAUCCCUCCCCAGCUUUGUAGCUGUCCCUAUGGGUGCGGGACUCCCUGCUGCAGCCCGCAGACACAGGCAGGACCCUCGACGUGGGUGGGGUCUCUGAUUUGUGGACGGAGAGAUCCAGCCUCGGUGGUCAGGUAAGGGGUCUACGUUCAUCCAGGAAGGAAGGGACCCAAUGGGAGCUGAGCCCACUGGACCUGCCACCAGCCCGCAGUGACCCCCGGGGGCCUGAGCUUGGGACGCAGGAGUCCACCUGCCCCCAGCACACUGCAUGCGGAGCUCUGCCCUGUUUGUGGAAGCUUGAGGAGGGCUGGCCUCCUGGCACGGCAGAGAGGGACCCCCACUUCAGAGUGGUGGGGGAAGGAGGGGCGAGGGCCCUAGGGUGUCCUCCCUCAGUCCUCAGAUGAGGCCACCGCGCCUUCAGAGACGGGAUCCUCCCUCGGUCUUCAGAUGAGACCCAGCACCUUCAGAGAUGGGGUCCUCCCUCGGUCCUCAUAUGAGACCCAGUGUCUUCAGAGACGGGGUCCUCCCUCGGUCCUCACAUGAGACCCAGCGCCUUCAGAGAUGGGAUCCUCCCUCGGUCCUCACAUGAGACCCAGCGUCUUCAGAGACGGGAUCCUCCCUCGGUCCUCACAUGAGACCCAGCGCCUUCAGAGACGGGAUCCUCCCUCGGUCCUCACAUGAGACCCAGCGCCUUCAGAGACGGGAUCCUCCCUCGGUCCUCAGAUGAGGCCACAGCGCCUUCAGGGAGGGGAUCCUCCCUCGGUCCUCAGAUGCAUUUGGUGCGAGCGUGUGAGGCCCAAGUUGGCUCGUUCCUAGCCCCGCUGUCACAUGCUGCGGGACCCCCUCUGCAGUGAGCAGGGCACCUUUCUGGCCACUGCAUUUCUGGGUGGCUCCACCGUGGUCUGGAGACUGCAGCGGCUCCACUGACCGGUUCAUGGCUCUCGAACAGUGCUAACUUCCUACCUCGAUGAAAUGUCUGUUAUCCGGUGGGACUAGUCCAUCCUUGCUUCUGCCACAGAAUUUUUUUGAAUCCAUGCAUAUUUGGUUUUCUAAAUAAAACUGAGAAUGAACUUGCCCAGUUCUUCGCACAUGAGUACACACACACACGGACACGCACACACACUCGUACAUAAGUUGGCAUUGGUACGGAAUCACACUAAAUGUACCGAGUCACUUAGGAAUAAUUAAUAUCUUUGUAAUACUGAGUCUUUCUACCCAAGAAUGCGGCAGUCCUUCCUUCUUUUUUCCAGUCUUCUCUUCCAGUCGCCAGUAACAUUUAUGGUUUUCUUUGGGAAUAUCUUGUAGUUCCUAGGCAUUUUAUCUGUGCUGCUGCGGUUGUUGUAAGUGGGAUUAUUUUCUCAUUUUUCUUCUAACUGGUCACUACUUUCUAGGGAGUCUGUGGCUUGUCACCCUGUGUUAUGCACCUGCUCUGAGGGCGCCCUCUGGUCAGGGAUCAAGUCCUGGGUGUGCAGUGCACAACCUGACCACCCUGACAUGCCAGUGCCUUCACCUCUGCCUUUCUCAGAUUUGUGCCUCUGAUUCCUGUCUUUGAUCAAAUUUCGUCAAGGUCAUGUCGAACAUCCUUGCCUUGUUUCUGACAGUGAAAAUGGCUAUAAUAUUUCCCGUUAAGUGGGAUGUUGUACAUGCCCGUUCAUUCCUAAUUUAUUUAGGGUUUUUACACAAGAAUGGACGCUGGAUUUUAUCAAGUGCAUUUUAGACAUCUAUGGAAGUAAUCACAUUUUUUCUUUUACAGCCGGCAACAGGAGGAAUUAGAGUCAUCAAUGUCGUAGUGUUAAAUCGUUGGCUGGUCCCAAUGGGUCAUUCUUUCUGAUCCACUGCCGAUUCUGCUGGCUAAGAUCCUAUUUAAGAUUUUUACAUUGACAUUCACAGGCAAGAUUGGCUUGUAGCUUUCACUUUUGUGCUACCUUCAUCAAAAUUGAAUGUCAACAUUAUUAGUUUUGAAGCUCUCCUUCUUCUCCUAUGCUCCAGAAUCUUUUAAAAAGCAACAGAGUGACCAUCUCCAUAAAGAUGAUGCACAUUUUCCCUGUGAAAUUGUCUGGCCUGAUUUUCUGGGCAGGGCUGGGUAGUUCUUAACAGUUUUCUCUGUCUCUUCUACAGUCAUUGGUCCAUUGAGAGAUUUUCUCUCUUUUGGGGGAGUUUUCAUACCUACAUUUUCUUAGAAAAGAUAAAAUCCAUAGCAGCAGAGUGCUGCCAUAGGAUUCUUCACUGUAAAUGUGUGUGAUGUCUCCUUUUCCAUUUAUUAUUUUGUGAUCUGUAUUUUCUCCAUUUUUCUUAAUUACCAACAGGCUGAUCAGGUGCUGGGUUUACUUAUUGUUGCUUUGGUUCUUCUGUUUUCUAAUUAACUUCUAUUUUUAUCUUUUUAAUCCCUUCCUUGUACUUUUCUUAGAGCAAUGUCAUUUUUUUUUAAUAAAACCUGAGUUGGAUGGUUAAAUACUAUGUCUGGGUUAUAAUCAUAAGUACUUUUUCUCUGAGCACUGCCUUUGGCAGUGAUAUGUAACAGCUUUCCUUCUUGCUAUUUUUGAGAUAUUCUAUUUAAUUUAUUUAAGUUUUGGUUUGUUCUUGAACCUAAAAGUUGUUUAAGACACAGGCCUUUUAUUCAGCGAGUAGGGCUGUUAGUUUCCAGUUGUGUUUUAAAUGUCUACUUUUGUUGUCUUAUUGUAAAUCAAAAAUAAAAUUCUAAGCCCCUCGACCAUCUGAACAGACCCCUCCUUUUAGCCAGGGGCCAAAGUUAACCUGAAAACUUAGUUCAGGCUGUGAUGGGAGCAGGGAGCUGGACGUGCCUCAUUAUCCCUCCUCCCUUUUGGAACUACUGAUAGAACAGACUCUUUAACUCUGAUAAGAAACAUUUACAGUCUAUUUUCUCUGAAGCCUGCAACCUGAAGGCCUCAUUUGUGUGAUAAAACCUUAGUCUUCACAACUCCUUAUCUUAACCCAGAUGUUCCUUUCUAUUGAUAAUAACUGUUUCAACCAAUUGCCAAUCAGAAAAUCUUUGAAUCUGCCUACGACCUGGAAGCCCCCUCCCCCUUCUCAUUGACCCACCUUUCCAGACUGAACCAACACAUCUUAGUGUACUGAGAUGCAUCUCCCUUGAGUGUAUAAAACCAGGCUGUGCCCCGGCCACCCUGGGCGCAUGCCCUCAGGGUCUCCUGGGGCUGUGUCACGGGCCAUGGUCAUUCGUAUUUGGCUCAGAAUAAAUCUCUUCAAUUAUUUUACAGAGUUUGACUCUUUUCAUCAACAGUGUUAGCAGUGACCAGCCAGAGAGACAAGGGGAGGGAAGAAGAAAUGAGUUCUCCCAUACAGCCCACCUCCUCCACUGCCCACACGGCCAUUCCCUGCUCUGACCAGUGUCCCCAGGCGUCUGGGGUUUGGAGUGGAACCUACCAUGCCUGCUGGUUCACUAUUGUCUCAGAGCUGUUUAAAAAGAAAAAAAGAAAAAAAAUGACCACAACGAAACUGCUAAACCACCUGAUAAUUAAAGCAAGAAAAACAAAUCAAAGAAAAUGUCAAUGCACAAAAUUAGGACUGGGAACGUGAGACUGACCACAGACAGAAUUAAAGUGCUUGAUGCUCAGAUCCUCGGAUAAUGUUUUGCACAACUCUAUGCUAAUGAUUUGAAGUUAGGAGGCAAUGCAGCUUUUAAGGAAAAUUAAGAUGGGCAGGGUGGACUUGUGGAUGGCCCAGUGACUGUGGAUAAACUGGGAGAGCUCCGGGUGAGACCAGAGCUGAAGAGAGGUCCGUGGAUCUCACUUCCCCAGCAGGGCAUCCACAGCCAUCUCAAGAGGAUGCAUCCUUCCUCCAUGGGACUCCGGGAUUUUCUGGCUUUCCAGGGCCUGCAUUUCAGAGGGCAGGCUUUUCCUGCCCUGCCACACCCUGCAGUACCUGCACCUGCACCCCUUCCUGCAUGCCGCCCUCUCUCUCUGCACACCUCAGCUGGGAGGAAGGAGAAAGAACAGAGUGAGUGAUCCCUAUUUUUGGGAUUUCAGGACAUUGGCAAAAGCUUCCAUUCCAAAUAAAAUAUCCAGCCCCCUCUGAGUGGUGUCUAACCUCCACACUUAGAGACUUUUUCCUUUGACUGAAGCAAAACCAUGCUGCCACUCACUUCUCAGGGGGUGCCAGCCCUGGGAAGGGGUGUUCCUGGAAAGGUCUGCACACUGGGCUGCACAAGGUGUUUCCCUCCAAGAGUGGAGAAGAGUGGGGUUUGGAGUCCUCAUGCUCCAGGGUCAUGGCCGCUGAGACUGGAGGAGCUGCAUUAGUCCCGUCUGAAUUCCGUGAUUCGGGCAGAAUUGCACUUGCCACGUUGAGCACACACUCCAGCAAACCCUGUGCUCUGCGUUAUAGGAGGUUCUACAACAGGCAACUCUGGUCUGUGGUGGCUGAAGUCAGAGCACAGGUGCCCCAGGGCAGGGUAGGGCCAACUGGGAGGGGCACAUGGGCCUCUGUGGGGUGACAGGGUGGUUUCCGUCCUGAGGGGUGUGGGUGACCACGUGCACACACUUCCAAAACUCAUGGAAACGCAGCACUUACCACCUGUUCGUUUUGCUGCAUGUAAAUUAUACCAAAAUAAAGGAAGCAGUGAAGGAGCAGGGAAAAGGCAGGUUUGUGAUCUUCCUCGCCAGGGCUGGCUUCAAGGAAACAAGCGCUGACCAAGACAGAUGGGCACUUGGUGGUAGCAAAGGAUAUGAGCCACAGAGAAGCCCCAGCAAACCCCUGUGCUCCGAAUGGGAUGGAAUUGGCAUCUGCUGAGAGCGACAGAGCCAAAGGGUGUGCGGGGAGAGCCAGACAGACACUUCAGAGGCCUGAAGAGUGUCGUCAGUAACACAGUUCUAACCAAUAUUCAUCGAAGGCCUUUCAAGUGCCCAUGGAACAAUCACAAAAAUGGAUGGCGUAUCGAGGCCCAGAGGAAACCAUGAAUUCCAAAGCAUACACACCGCCAGGCGACGUUCACCAAUCCCAGCGCAGUACCACUGCCAGUUGAAGUCAAUACCGUGAAGCGGAAAACCUCACCAUCUGAACAUUUUUUAACUCUCUAACGUAACUAUUAAGCCAAAAGAAAAUAAAGUUCUCUUUACAGAAUAUCUAGAAAACAAUGAAGAAGAAAAUCCACGUUCAAGAAAAUAUCUCCAAAGUUUGAAAUUGAGGAAAAUUAGUGGUGAGUGAUUUUAGUAUCACAGCAGAGCACUCUCCCCUCCCUCGGAAAAUGCGGCCUCACUGCCUUCCCGCUUACGGCCCCCGAGGCUGCCGUACUGCAGCCCCAUGAAACUGGAGGGCGUCUUACAGAAAGGUGAUAGUGCGGACAUUUUUUUGGAGAAGAUAACCCUAGAGACUACGCUUUUUGUAGGACAGGAACCAGGUUUGGACCUAACUUAUCUAAUGAUCUCAUAACCCCAAAAUAAAAUUCUAAGACCCCCCCCCCAGUUGACUGGACUCCCUCUGGGCCAAGGGGACCCCAGGAAACCUGAAAAACUGGAUUAUUGAUGGGAAGGGAGGCUGGGCUCCCCCUCCCUGUUGGAGCUUAGGCACAGCUGACCAGCAUUUAUACUAAAGUAGAGAUCAUAAGACUGACAAAUAGACUUUUUGUGGCAAUUAGAUACCAAAUUCCAACCUGACUCUGGCAUAGCAUUGCAUGACAGCAGAUAGCAGACCCUAAAGAAAAGCACAGUAUUUUACUCCCAAAUAUGUUUCUUUGACAUGUUUUGAAAUGGCUGGGCAAAGUGCACUCUUGUAGGGGAAAAUGUGUCUAUAGAGAGUGGCCUUCCCUUACUAGGUCCUUUCCUGAUCCGGGAGAGAUUUACCUAAGAGAUUUAUGGCACCUUUCAAGGUCCAGAAAGAGACGUUUAUCAUCUACUCUCUCUGAAGCUACUUCAUGUAUGAAACAAAAAUUACCUUGACUUCCACAACCUCCGAUCUUAAGCAUUUCUUUCUGCUGACUUCAACUGUAAGCAAAGCUUAACUUUUUCAACCAAUUGCUAAUCAUAAAAUCUUUGAAUCCACCUAAGACCUGAAUGCCCCUGCGCUGCCUGGCUUCAAGAUGUCUCACCUUUCCAGGCUGAACCAAUGUACACCUUAUAUGUAUUGAUUUGCCUGUAAGUUCUGUCUCCCUAAAAUAUGUAAAAUGGAACUGUAACCCAACCACCUUGGGUGCACAUUUUCAGGAGCUCUUGAAACUGUACCCCGGUCCAUGGCCACUCAUAUUUGGCUCAGAAGAAACUUCUUUAAAUAUUUUAGACUUUGGCUUUCCUCAUCAACAAUCUCUCUCCCAUUUAAUUUCAAUUCCUCAAAUACUCUGUGAAGUCAUGCUGUCAUUCUGUCCGUUACCUCAUUCAUGAGUUAAAAAGAACUUUGUCACAUAGCGCAGCUAUUUGUAUAAAAAAGAGUUUUAACAGUUUGAGAAUUGUGCUUUUACAAGACAUGUCAGAAAUUAUUAGAUACUGCCAAGAGUGCUCAGAUAGAAAUUCAUAGUCUCACAUGCUUAUCAGUUAACAAGAAAACAUGAAAAUAGGUAAAUUAAACAUCCAAUUCAAGAACUGCAAAACAUAGCUAAGUGAGGCAGACAGAAGGACUUUGUAAACCAAAAAUAAAAUUCUAAGCCCUGAUCAUCUGAAUGGACCCUGCCUCUCAGUCAAGGGCAUUCCAAAGUUAACCUGAAAACCUAGUUCAGGCCAUGAUGGGAAGGGGGAGCUGGAGGUGUCUCAUUAUCCCUCCUCCCUUUUGGAAUUACUGAGAGAACAGACUCUUUAACUCUGAUAAGAAACAUUUAUGAUCUAUUCUCUCUAAAGCCUGCUACCUGGAAGCUUCAUCUGUGUGAUGAAACCUUGGUCUCCACAACCUCUUAUCUUAACCUGGACAUUUCUUUCUAAGUCUUUAGACAAUAACUUGACUCAACCAAUUGCCAGUUAGAAAAUCCUUGAAUCUACCUAUGACCUGGAAGCCCCCCGCUUCCAGUUGUCCCCCAUUUCCAGACGGAGACGAUGUACGUCUUACAUGUGUUGAUGGAUGUCUCAUGUCUCUCUUAAAGAUAUAAAACCAAAUGUGGCCUGACAACCACAGACACAUGUUCUCAGGAACUCCUGAAGGCUGUGUCAUGGGGCCAUUGGCCACUCAUAUUUGGUUCAGAAUAAAUCUCUUUAAAUAUUUUACAGAGUUUGAUUAUUUUCAUCAACAACUUACUAAGGAAUAAAGAAGAAAUUAAUGAUUUGAAAAGCAGGAAAUGAUAGGAUCAAUUAAUAGGCACCAAAGCUGGUUCUUUUAAAAAAAAAGGAAAACAAUAAAAUACAGAAACCAUCAACAAACCCAACCAAAAAGAAAUACAUAAAAUCAGAAAUAAGCAUCAGAAAAUAGCCCAGAUGCAGAGUAAGUGAAAAACAACUGCGAUAAGACUACUUUGUUCAACACUAUGCAUAUUGAAAUCUGUAUGAAAUGAAUGCUUUUUAAGGAAAAUAUUAUCAAACUGAUUUUGGAGGAGCCAAUUACCACAGGAGAAGUAUUAAAGAGCUAUGAGAGAAGUGUUAAAGAGCUACGACAGUCACCCACACAUGCUCAUGUUGGAGGAAAACUUGUCCUCUGUCAUCUCAGGUUCUCUAUUGGGGGCCUGCAAAUAAAACAAAAGACGGAUUAGCAAAGGGUAAAGUUGAUUCACAUGCAUACUCAGGAAGAAAGUGACUCAAAGAAGCAGCUAGAAUUUGGGGCUGAGAAACCAUCUUAUCAAGGGGAAGGAGGUAGGACCCUGAGGGCCAGCAUGUGGUGGGAAACGAGCGAGAGAGACACAGGAAGCUAACGGAGGGCAAGGUCCGCUUGGGAAAGGUCUGUGUGUGCCAUUCCUCAUCCCAGUGCUGACUUCUCAUCUCCAGCAACUGGAGUUGCUCUGUCUCUUGGUACCAGAAGCCUCCUUUCAAGGGGCCGUGAUGGCUGAGUCCUUGGGCUGUAAUGGCCGAGUCCUUGGGCGGUGAUGGCCGAGUCCUUGGGCCGUGAUGGCCGAGUCCUUGGGCCGUGACGGCUGAGUCCUUGGGCGGUGAUGGCUGAGUCCUUCUGGAAGCCUCUGCUUUUAGGCAGAUAAGGCCGCUGUGGAGAAAGCCUCCUCCUGCACUGUGGAUUCCCAAACACCAUCAGCUCAAAAUGAUCCUUACACCACAAAGUGUGAUCUGGAUCCCUUCACACACCUGCACAUAUACACAGAUAUGCAUGUGCUUACACGUAUGUACACAUGCACACUCAAACACACAUACAUAUGUGUGGUUACAUGCACACACACGUGUACACAUAUACACAUGCACAUACAUGCACAUAGAUAUACACACAGUGCAUGUAUACACAUAUAUAUCCAUAUCCACACAAAUGCACACAUGAACGUGCUUACAUAUGGGUACACAUGCUCACACAUAUACACAUAUCUCCAUCUACACAUAUGCAUCCACAUCCACAUGAAUACUCAUGCAUACACAUGUUUACACACGUGCACACACGGACACACAGGCACACACAUACACAUGUACACACAUGACCAAACAACACACAUGCAUGCAUGUACUUACAUUUACACAUGCACACAUAAACACCCACAUGAAGACAACAUACAUAUACAUAUGCACACAUACAUGCUCACACAUUCAUAUACACACACGCUAUACACAUACAUGCAGCAUGUGCAUACACAAACGUACCCCCACACACACAUACAUAUACACACUUGCUCCAAAUGAGAAAGAAAAGUCCACCUUACAAGUUCUCGCAAACCUUAAGGAACAUGUAAUUAAAAUGCUAUGAACCAGUUCAGGAGCACAGAAGGAAAGAUCAAGCUUCCACAUUGUUUGUUUGAAAAUAUCACAGAAUCACCUUCCUUAUCAAUAUCGAGGCACAAAUUCUUAGUAUUAGCAAGCAGAUGCACACCGAAGGCAAGCGAGUGAGAAAGCCCACUGCGGCUGGAUCAGAAGACACACGGUCUUACGGCAGUUCUCUUUAAAUCAACUUGUACGGGAGAAAAUGCCAACAGUGUGCUUUUGGCUGUGUUUUGUGUUUAUUCUUUAAACUAGACCAGAUGUUUCAGCAUUUACAUAAAAAUAAACAUGCAAAUACAGUCUUACAAAACGUUGAAGAGAGAGGCCUCAGAGAAGAGAGUGCUGCCGCUGUCCAAGUGUGCCGUGAGCUGCAGCAGCCUCAGCAGCGGGGCCUGCUGGACCAGGAUUUCAGAACGAGGCUCUGCUCUAAUGACACAGCAAGGCUUCAAAAAUAUCUUCCAGUGAAUGGAUGGGUAGUUAGCUGGAAGCCAUGAUGCUAAACAGGUAUGAUGCAACUGCCAUUUCUGUGAACCAAAAAAGAAUAUACACGUACACAUCACCUGUGCACGGUGUCUACAGAAGGCAGAGGGAAGGCAGGUAGAAGCAUUAAUUAAGAGCUGCAGAUUCAUCAGAUAAAAAUGUGUGACCCCAGGUUAGGUGCUGGGAUGCAGCAAUGCUGAGUUCCUGGGAUCCUGGGAUGCUGGAGGGCAUGUGCACACCACCCUCGGGCGUCAUCCUGGAGACGCGGGAGCUCGGCUGCCAGGUUGCUGAUACGCUCCAUGUUCAGGGGCUGUCCCACCGGGAAAGGUGCCCGUGGGGGUGAGAAGCCCUCUUCUGAUCCUCCUGCUUUCCUGGGGGGUGAAGCUGCUUUCCCAGAAAACAUCAGGCCCCCCUCCCGGCUGCCGGACCCCACAGUGUGGUCUUUGUCCCCAGGGGCAGUGCUUUCUGCCCCUUUUGUUCUCUGCUGAUCCCCAGAGCCUGGCCCUGCACAGGUCGUUGGUGAUGUCUGUGGAUUAGAGACCUGCUCCCCUGUGCCUCCACAGGGGAGGGCCACACGUGCAUACACAUGCACACUCAGACACACGGUCACGUACAUGAUCAUGCUUACAUGUCACACACUAUACACACGCACUCUUGUGUACACAUGGCACACACUUACCCUAACGCAGCCACACAGUUCACACACACCCACCCCCUCCUGCUGACACUCUCACAGUCACACACAUGCACUCACCACACCCUCCCCUAGUGGGCUCUGGGGUUCCACCAACCGUAGCUGGGUGGCCACCCCGUGGCCUUCACCACUGCGUGGCCCAACACACAAAGGUGGCCUGGGGCCUCUCCCGACUCUAGGAUCAGUUCUUCCUGGUUCCCUGGGCCAACAUUCUCCUGCGGGCCCAGUCUCAGUCAGCCCUCACACGUGGGGAUUCCAGCUCAGCCCCCUUUCCCAGACUCCACACUUGGAUUCUCAAGCCGUAGGUAAAGUAGCCGUGCUGGCACCGACUGGCCCCAAAGUGGAGCUGAUGCCACAAAGCACUGCCGGGCCAGACACCAGCCAGGCAGGCCCCUGGGACAGCGGUGCAGGUCGGCUUCCAGCCGACUUUGGGGUCCCCAGGACCCUGCCUUUCUGGAGGGGUCACCAAGCCAGAGCUGGGCUCCACCUGGCCAUUUGUGAGAUGUGCAGCUUUGUGAGCUGGUGCUGCCCCUGGGGCAGUCUAAACAGCGGUGGUGGGAGGAUGUGCAAAUGCUUCCAACCAGGGGCUUCAUUUUCGCUUUUCCCUGGAGAGCCUGUUUGCCAGCACCCCGCUACCAGGGACCCUCCGUGCCUCCCCAACUCCACCUAACCCCUUCUCCAGCUCCCCUAGUGGGGGGCGGCACCUUGCUCUUCUGAGCGGAGCCGGGGAGAGCCAGGACCCCGCACAUCACCACGUCCCUCCUGCCCCCGGCUUCUGCUUGCCUGUCCCCAGGAGCUGGGAUGCCAGGUCGAUUUCAACCAAGUUCUCUUUUACGGACAUACACACCAGUGGGAUUUGAUUACUGGCCUCACCUGCGCUGGAAGAAGCUCUAUCUUUAACUUCUGUUCUGCUCAUUCUGCUCAUGUAUAUAUUCUGAGAUGUUUUAAACAACAAUUCACCCAUCUUCCUGGCUUUCACCUGAUGAAAUUACAAAUGUUCAGAAUUCUCACCACCUUCUGGUUAAGCAAGUGUCAUGGAUUGAACUGUGUCCCCCUGAAACUCUUAUGCUGGAGUCCUAGUCCCACGGCCUCAGAAUGUGGCCUUAUUUGGAGACAGGGUCUUCACAGAGGUGAUCUGUUUAACAGGAGGUCCCAGGGUGGGCCCUAAACCCCAUGGCUGGUGUCCGUAUAAGAUGGGCACAUUUGGACACCGAGACACAGACAAGAAGACAACCACAUACGGCCACGCGGGGUGCCCUCCAAGGAACCAACUCCGGCCGCACCUUGAUCUCGGCCUUCCCGCCUCCUUUCCCGCUGUUUAAGCCGCCCAUGAGAGUGCCCCGUGAUGGCAACGCCAGCGGGCGCAUAUACAGCGGGCCUCUGGGGUCCAGCCUGGGAGCCCAGACACAGACACCGUCUCUACCUGGCAAGAUGGGGUGACGAAAUGAGAAAUGAAUAGAUCUGGUCUCUGCUCCCGAGACCCCGCACAGGGCUCCAAAAGCCCUCGAAUUUCCUGGGUGAUGGCAGCAGAUUCUUCCGUUCAAAUGAGGUGAGGCUUGGUGGCUCCUGGAGGGGGGCCGGUCACCAGAGAGACCAGCCAGGAUUAGCACCUGCAGCUCUCAACCCUGCACCCACCCUCCUCCAGGGAUCAUCCACCAUCAUCCUUCAUGUCUGUGAUGGAGCCUCCAUAAGAAUGCCUGGACUAUGGGUCCCGAGCAUUUCCGGGUUGCUGAACACAUCCACGGGCCAGGAGGGUGGUGCCCCCCACUCCACGGACACAGAAGCUCCUGGGCUGGGGACCCUUUCCAACCCUGCCCUGUGCCCCGGCCCACCUGGCUGCCCAUCUGCGGCCUUUCUCAUCUCCUUUUCCUGCGUUCUGUGAUAAUUUUGUGUUGCACUCUUGAUAUUUAAGGCUAAUGUGUAACUAGAAAACUGAGUUUUAAUAUUUAAUGCCCUUGGAUUUGGGAAAUCUCUUACUACAUUAUGUUUGGAUAUACUUUCUCUGAGGGGAUAAAUAUUUUAUCGAGGCUGUA